rnacentral:rRNA from 1 species
CAGUCGCCGCGGGAAUACGGAGGGAGCUAGCGUUGUUCGGAAUUACUGGGCGUAAAGCGCACGUAGGCGGCUUUGUAAGUUAGAGGUGAAAGCCUGGGGCUCAACUCCAGAAUUGCCUUUAAGACUGCAUCGCUUGGAUCAUGGAGAGGCGGGUGGAAUUCCGAGUGUAGAGGUGAAAUUCGUAGAUAUUCGGAAGAACACCAGUGGCGAAGGCGGCCCGCUGGACAUGUAUUGACGCUGAGGUGCGAAAGCGUGGGGAGCAAACAGGAUUAGAUACCCCGGUAGUCCCUGUCUCUUAUAA